rnacentral:rRNA from 1 species
UAAUACCAACUCCCUGAGUGGUGGGGAUGAUUAUUGGGCCUAAAGCGUCCGUAGCCGGCUCGGCACGUCUCCCGUUAAAUCCAGCGACCUAAUCGUUGGGCUGCGGGGGAUACGGUCGGGCUUGGGAGCGGGAGAGGUCGGCGGUAUUCCCGGGGUAGGGGUGAAAUCUUGUAAUCCCGGGAGGACCACCAGUGGCGAAGGCGGCUAACCAGAGCGCGUCUGACGGUGAGGGACGAAAGCUGGGGGAGCGAACCGGAUUAGAUACCCGGGUAGUCCCAGCUGUAAACGAUGCGGGCUAGCUGUUGAGAUAGCCACGGGCCAUCUCGGUGGCGCAGGGAAGCCGUUAAGCCCGCCGCCUGGGAAGUACGAUCGCAAGAUUG